CAGGACACGCUGGCGGCGUGCCUAACACAUGCAAGUCGAGCGAAUGAAGUUCCUUCGGGAACGGAUUUAGCGGCGGACGGGUGAGUAACACGUGGGCAACCUGCCUCAUAGAGGGAAUAGCCUUCCGAAAGGGAGAUUAAUACCGCAUAAGAUUGUAGUACCGCAUGGUACAGCAAUUAAAGGAGCAAUCCGCUAUGAGAUGGGCCCGCGGCGCAUUAGCUAGUUGGUGAGGUAACGGCUCACCAAGGCGACGAUGCGUAGCCGACCUGAGAGGGUGAUCGGCCACAUUGGGACUGAGACACGGCCCAGACUCCUACGGGAGGCAGCAGUGGGGAAUAUUGCACAAUGGGGGAAACCCUGAUGCAGCAACGCCGCGUGAGUGAUGACGGCCUUCGGGUUGUAAAGCUCUGUCUUCAGGGACGAUAAUGACGGUACCUGAGGAGGAAGCCACGGCUAACUACGUG
rnacentral:rRNA from 1 species